UGAGGCCCCAGGUCAGGCGGGAUUACCCGCUGAAUUUAAGCAUAUCAAUAAGCGGGAGGA
rnacentral:rRNA from 1 species